GCAGGAACAGCAACAGGCACUAGGAAACAGACUGAGAAAGCAGAUACAGUGUUUCCCGUGAAAACUGUUCCCUUUGUGGUAGAUUAACGAACGUCUGACCACAUGUUCAUUUCUGAGAGAUAAGUGAGUGUGAAAACAGUACUUCACCUAGCUUGUUAGGAACAAAAAGUUUCUUUUCAUUUGAAAACUACACUUCAUACACAUAUAUGGGUUGGUACUAGCACCAACUCGGUCUAACAGUGAAAGUUGCAGGAACUUCAAACCGGCACUAGGAAAUACUUUGAGAAAGAAGAGAACAAGUCUCUCCUGC